rnacentral:piRNA from 3 species
GCUCCCUCGCUGCGAUCUAUUGAAAG